rnacentral:lncRNA from 1 species
CAGCGUCCUGAGCCGCUACUCAUAAUCUGGGUUGUUAGUUGCUAUGUUAGUACAACUAUUUGCAUGUUGCCGGAUGGUUAGGUGCUGGGUCAAGUUUCAGCUUGGUAGCAAAGUGUGUGGGCGUGCUGUAUAUGCGACAUUUAUCAGGUUAUCUAUGCAACCGUGGGUGUUGGCUGUCGCAUAUGUGUGCACACAAAUUGUUGUUCUCGCUGCCAGUUCAGAUGCUGCCAUGUUUCUUCUUGCCUAUGUUCAGUGGCUAUGCUCUAGGGUCCUCGCUGUUAAUUUAUGUCAUCACAACCAGUAAACUUUCUGAGCUGGAAUGUCCGGGGCCUUAACUGUCCGAACCGGCGGUCGACAGUUAAUGCUACUAUCGCUUCCUCCUCCUGUCAUGUAGUGUGCCUCCAGGAAACGAAGCUUGACAAUAUCGAUCAGUUCACGGUAGCUUUCUUAGGGGGGCUAGGCUGCGUAGCUUCGCACAACGUCCAGCAAAUGGCACCAGGGGUGGUAUCCUUCUUCUUUGGGAUGACCUUUUGGUGGAGAUGUCCAGCAUCACCAUCACCACCUUCUGCCUCUCAGCCAUGGUCCGUGUCAGAGACUCAGGCAUGAGCUUCAAGAUAACCACCGUUUACGGCCCCACCGACCACUCGCUCAAAGAUGUGUUCUUUGCCGAGCUCGUUAGCCAAAAGCCACCCGCUGGUGUGGCUUGGAUAGCCUUCGGGGAUUUCAACCAAAUUUACCGGGCAAGCGAUAAAAACAAGAGGAACGUGAACUGCAGCCGUAUAAAUUGGUUCUGUGCAACUCUCCACAGUUGUGAGCUCAAAGAAAUCCACCUCCAGAAUAGGAGAUUCACAUGGAGCAAUGAGAGGUCCAACCCUACCCUGUGCAAGCUCGACUCCUUCUUUUGCAAUGCGGAGUGGGACACAACAUUCAACGACCACGUGUUACAUGCGCUCUCCUCGUCCCUCUCCGACCACUGCCCGCUUCUGCUUGCUGAAGAUAAGGGGCCAAGGAGGCCUAGGACCUUCGAAUUUGAGAACUUUUGGGCUUCUAUGCCAGGCUUCUAUGACGUGGUCCACAAGGCCUGGGCCGAGCCAGUUGAGCAUACCGACCCAUACAUGAUCCUUUUCCACAAGCUCAAGAAAACGGCAAAGCGUCUCACGGAAUGGAGUAGAGGCCUCUUCUCUAAAGCCAAGAUCCACCUCCAUGCCGCCCUCUUGGUGAUCCUCCGCCUCGACAUUGCUCAGGAGGGAAGGUUGCUCUCCCCGGGGGAGCGCGACCUUGGAUCUCGGCUUAAGAGAAGGGCCAUAAGCUUGGCCGCGCUGGAGAAAGCACGUAAAAAGCAGUGUGCUAGAAUCGCAAACAUUAAGGAAGGGGAUGCCAACACCAAAUUCUUUCACCGUCGCGUUAACGCGAGAAGGAGGAAAAACUAUAUUCACCGGAUUAUGAAGGAUCAAGGGUGGGUGACCGAACACAAUGCCAAGGAGAAGAUAAUCCAUGACCACUUCUCGCAAGUAAUGAAAAGAGGAAGCGUAAGCACGAAGGACUUCAAUUGGGAGGAGCUCAAUCUGGAGUCGCAUGACCUACGUGAGCUUGACGCUCCCCUCUCUGAGGCGGAGGUCAUCGAGGCGAUUAAUAGCAUGCCGAGCGACAAGGCGCCUGGGCCAGAUGGCUUCACCGGCCUCUUCUUCAAAAAGUGUUGGGGCAUCAUCAAGCACGACCUCAUGAGGGUGAUUCAACGCUUUGACUCCCUCCACACAACAAACCUACACUGGCUCAACUCUGCGAAUAUUGUGUUGCUUCCAAAGAAGGAUGGGGCGGAGAGCAUCGUCGACUUUAGGCCCAUUAGCCUCAUCCAUGUAGUCGCCAAGAUCAUCGCGAAGGUACUCGCUAUCCGGCUUGGCCCGCACAUGUCCGCCCUCAUCUCCAACGCUCAAAGUGCGUUCAUCAAAACGCGGAGCAUCCACGACAACUUCAUGUAUGUUAGAAACCUUGCGCGACGCUUGCACAAGAGCAAGACUCCCUCUCUCCUAUUCAAGCUGGACAUCCGCAAGGCAUUUGACUCUGUCAAAUGGGAGUACUUGCUUGACCUCCUACGGAGGCGAGGUUUCCCAAGCAAAUUUCGAGAGUGGAUUGCGGCUCUGCUAUGCUCCUCAUCUUCGAGGAUCCUCUUGAAUGGGGUAGCUGGUACCCCCAUCAAGCAUGGUCAGGGACUACGGCAUGGGGACCCCGUCUCUCCCCUUCUUUUUGUGAUAGCUAUUGACCCAUUGAAGCAAAUCCUUGAUGUGGCGACAAGGAAGGGCCUUCUUCACAAGGUCCGAGGGAGAGGGGUCAUGGUGCGAACCUCUCUCUAUGCGGAUGAUGCGGCUGUGUUUGUAGCGCCGAUCAAAAGAGAUGUGGACAACCUCGCGGCCAUUCUGCGAGGUUUUGGUGAAGUCACCGGCCUUUGCACCAACUUCCAUAAGAGCCAAUGGUCCCCAUUCGGUGCGGCAACCUUGACUUGGGCCACAUCACACAAGGGCUACCGGCUAUCAGGGCUUCCUUUCCGCUCCGCUACCUGGGACUCCCGCUAUCUGUGUGGAAGCUGAAGCUCGCCGACCUACAAUUUCUUGUCGAUAAAGUGGCAAGUAGACUGACUACAUAUGACGGCCAAAACAUCACCACCAUUGGUCGCGCGGCCCUUGUUAAGUCGGUCCUUGCUUCCCAAGUGAUCUACUUCAUCACGCCACUUGUCAUUCAACCCACCAUUCUGCAAAACAUCGACAAGCCUGAGCGGGCCUUCCUAUGGUCGGGGUCGGAUACGACAUCCGGGGCAAAGUGCAAGGUCAAUUGGGAUGUUGUCAGCCGGCCGCUCGCCUAUGGUGGACUCGGGGUCCUCAACACCAACAAGUUCGCACGGGCUUUGCGUUUGCAGUGGCCUUGGUACGAAUGGAAGGAGCCCACAAAGUUGUGGGUUGGGAGUGGGAAUCUGUGCGAUGAGGAGGACCUUAACUUUUUCUACGCCUGUACCACCAUCACGGUUGGGAACGGUGCGAAGACUCCAUUUUGGGACUCCCCUUGGCUCCUUGGUCGCAAGCCCAAAGACAAUGCUCCGCUCAUUUAUGAGACUUCCUCCCGGAAGCACUGGAAGGUACGGGAGGCCCUCAAGGACAACGUGGAUCCUCAAAAUCAGACCGCCCGCAUCUGUUUCCAUCGAGCAUGUUGCGCAAUUCUUCACCCUUUGGAUGCUACUGCACGAGGUGCACCUGGAUGAGCUCACCGAGGAUGACAUCCUAUGAAAGCACACGGAAUCUGGGCACUACUCCGCGACCUCCGCUUACAGGGCACAAUUUUUGGGCUUGGUCCUCUCCCCCAUGGACCAAAUGGUCUGGAAGGCUUGGGCCCCACCAAAAGUCAGGUUCUUUGCUUGGCUCGUGCUUCAGGAUAGGAUCUGGACUGCGGACAGAUUGGAGAAGCGAGGAUGGCCUAACUGUGGCCCCUGCCCCUUGUGCCGACGGGUGCAGGAAUGUGGCCCUCAUCUUUUCUUCAGAUGCCAUUUCACUCUCAGGCUUUGGAACAUGGCUAUUCAGAAAUUUCGCAUCCACGACAUGGACACGUCCACAUGGCACCUGUUUGACUCCGUUCAUGCCUGGUGGGUGAGCACAUGCACCAGGGCACCACCGACAGAAAAGCAAAGGCAUCGAUUACCAUGCUAGUGUCAUGGGUCAUCUGAAAUGAGCGCAACGCAAGAGUGUUCAGGCAAAAGAGCGCACCUCCGCAAAUCUUGCUCAGCAUCAUUGAAGAUGAGGCAAACCCUUGGAUCAAAGCUGGGGCAAAAAAACUAGGGUCUUUUUUAUUGCAAGAAUAAUUGUCAUGCCGUAACUUGGAUGUGUGUUGUAACAAACUCUCUCUCCUUCUUAUUUAAUAUAUGAGGCAAAUCUUUUACCUCCGUUUCAAAAAAAAAAUUAUCUGCCUCUUGUUAGUCGGUUUUAAAGAGAAAAAAAAGCCGGUUUUAAAGAGUCUGGCUGUCAGUAACACGCGUACGGCAGUUGCAAUAUAAAACGAUUUUAUUUCUCGAUAAGUGUGAUUUGAUCUCCUAUUAAAGGACAAUAAUGUGAAUCCACGUGUAUGUGCAGCCAGCUGAUGAUCCUGAUUGAGUGACUAACUAGAGUAGAUAAGCACGAUUAGAUCUGCAACUCAUAUAAGGUGCUGGCCGCUGAUUAUUAAGAUUCCCUUGACCUGCUUAUAAGAGUAUGCAUUCCUUGAUACUCUUUUUGUUUUUGAGCUGCAUUGCUUGAUACUCGUGUAUGUAGCAGUUGGCGCACCUGGCUAGUAUUAUUGCUCUGGAUACGAUUAUGUGGCUUUCGCGGUUGAAAAAGUUGGCCACGAGUUUGUCAAAAGAGGUCGCUGUCACAGAUCCGGUUAGACUUCCACGGCAUUGUCUUUGACUAAAUAGUGUCCUUAAUAGACAUGUUUGACUAAUUUAGUGCUGAACGAAGCUUUGUCUUCGUGUGCCCUCGUCCGCUGGUAAUGUUCUAGGCAACUGAUAGGGUGUGUCAUAGGUCACAGAAAUAGCUCAUCUACUAGGAUUAGAGCAAAGUCUAAUAAUAAGACACAAUUUUUCUGUCGUGGAAAUAUUAAGACACAAUUAGCGGGUUGUAAAGAUUAAAAUAUUAUUUUUGCUGAAUUAGAUAAAAAAGAAGAGAGAAAAGAAGAGAAGUGGGCUGGGUUAAUAACCAACUGCAACACAGAUUUUCAGAAACAUUGUGAGAGUGUAAUAUGAGUCAUAUAUUAAUAAAGUAGUGUGGUAUUUCUUAGUAGUCCGUCCCUUUCAAAAUAUAAGAUGUAUUGAUUUCGUGCAAGUCAACCAUUUGAAUGGUUGAUCAAAAUUAUAAAAUAAAAUAACAACAUCUGCAAUAUCUAAUAAAUAUUGUCGACCCACUCGUGCUGCUCCGGGGGAAAUCUUAGGAUCUGGUGUUCCAGAUCAGACGAUGACGACACUGCGGUGUCGUUUCUCUUUUGGAAGCAUCGUUUUUGGAGCAGCGCUGGAAGUGAGAGGCAGGAGGUGGAGCGGCUUCGUCUUGCACGGAGCUUCGGUGGAGAUGUCAAGUCAUGCCUGGUCGGCAGGUGCUACGCAUGACAGAUCUUCCAAGGACUUCAAGCUGUGUCGACUGGUGGUACUUGACAGCAUGGCGCUGAGGUGUAUCAGUGACGUCCGCGACGUGCUCAGCUGUUUGCGCGCAGAGAGGAGGUGCCGUUGGGCGCCGUGGUGGCGUCGACGAUAGUUAGACUGACCAAGGUUGAUGCAGCAGUACAGUUCUGAAGAUGGAGCGGUGGCAGUUGGCGGCGGCGGCCUCUGAGAGCACGCCGGACCAUUAUGUACCCCAGACCCGACAAGUGGCUAGGUUGGGGUCUCAGGACUUAGAUGUUAGGCUUGGCUGCGAUGUCUGUUUGGUAUUAGGCUCAGGCUAUCUGCGCUCCUUCAUCAACUGGAUAGGUGUAGCGACAAUUUAUUGCUUAGACGGCGGCUUUAGUCUUACUGUUGUAUGACUUUGUAAGGUCUUCUGAGAAUAAUUAAUAAAGUGACCGUAUGCAUCGUCCAGAUGCAGAGGCCGGAAGUCGUCCUUCUUUUUUAAAAAAAUCUGCAAUAUCUAAUAGAUAAAAUAUGAAACUAUUUUUAAUUAUGGAUCAAAUGAUAACAAAUUCAUAUUGUGGAUAUUUAUAUUUUUUUUAGAAAAACUCGGUCAAACAUGUAGCCAUUUGACUUUUGAAAAUACAAAUACAGCUUGUAGGAAGGAACGGAGGAGUAACUAAUAAUAAGACAUGUUGCUAUUAGGUUGCUAUAUGUGACUUGACAACUUCCUAUAGCUGAUUGUUGGCUAUACUAUCGUUCUAUGUUCAAAGCGUCAUUUAGUACUAAAUUAUUUAUUUAAUCUUUAUUUGCUGUUAUUCAGUGUAAGUUUUCAUCUUGGACUACAGCGUACGGUGAUAAGUAGAAGAAUGCUAAUAUGAUUUUGAAUAUAGUUUUAUUUUUACUGAUCGUUCUAUGUCUUUGUCCAUUGUACUGUACUGACUAUUUUCCGGGUCAUAAUUAUCAAAUUUACUAUGCCUUUGAGAUGUCUUUAGAAAGAGUAUCUACUAGAUUAGCAGCCGUUUACACCUCUCAAACAAAAAGCGAAGCAGAUUGGCAGCCCUACAAAGCGAGGAGCCUUUUCAGAAAAAGAAAUAUACAGUACUACUAGCAUACUCACGUGCGGGACAGUUCUAGGAGCUGAUUUUUUAUGCUUACCUUUUUUUUCUUGCUUUGUUUCUUGUGCUGGUUACUGAACUUUUGAGUUAGCUUUGCCCGAAGUUCGGUGUGUCUUUUUCUCCCUGGCUAUAUGGAUCAGAUUCUUUAUCUAGAAUCUUGGGAGGUUGACGGGUCCGGCGAAUCACGGUCGAACUCGUGCGUCCAGAAGUCUCACUUCGUGCAUCAUCCUAUAUCAAUCAGAGGGAGGCUUGACCGAGAACAAUUGGAUUUGUUUACUUUUAGCUAGCACAGGUCCAAAGACUCGAUUGGCAACUGAAAAGUAGAUCGUUAUUCGGCUGUUGAAUGUAGUGCCUCUCGGCGGACCAAAAUUAACAUGCUAAGCCAGUCCCCAUAAAGUCUAACAUUACGGUUCCUCAUCGUUUUGUUCAUUGCUUUUGAUCUGUAACUCUCCCGGAUAUUUAGCUUUUUAUCGGAGUACUUAAUUUGGUAACUUGUUGAUGUAUGGAGGUUAAUAUAGCUUAAGUCCAACGCGGACCCUCAAAUCGCUAAUAGGAUCAUGCUGUUCAGACGUGUUUUAUUUAACCAGAUUCGGGCGUGUUAUGUCAUCUAACGCGGGUCUGUAUCUGCCCAAUUCAGAAGCAUUUUCUCCCGCAAAUCGGAGACAAAUGUUGGGGGGCUUUGCGGGCAUCCGGGCCGCUACCACGACCGCGUCUGGCCACCUUGGUCCACCCAAACCCCCUCCCCCACCUGCGCGUGCUUAUCACCUGAAACGGUUAGCGCCGCUCCAGAACACUAGUGCCACAUUCAUGUCCGGUCAGAGCGGACGUGACCUCUCACUAGCGCUAACAUUGAAGCGACGCACCGACCUAGAGAGCGCUGCCCGAGCCGCUUCUCGGUGCAUGUGACUGCUCCGCAUUCAAACGACACCACGGUCGCCCGUUCGUCCGUGUGCCGCCUGCAUUAAUGACACACGGUUGCCGAGGAACCUACUCCGACGCCACCCGUUCGUCCCUCUGCCACCCACUAUUGCCCCCUCGCCCGCUAUAUAAGCUGCAGCCUCGGGCAUAGCCGCAUUCAUCCUCCUCCGGUCCGUUUCUUCUCUUUUGCACCACUCCCAUCAUGACCUCCUCGCACGCCUAAGCUUUGUGGGACGGGCUAUCGCCAGAGCAGAAGAAGGAGAUGACUGCCAUUGAUGCCGGCUAACAGACCAACGAGCAGCCGGAGGCCACUGACGUCCCAAUGAAGGACGCGGGACCCUCCUCGCCAGCGCUACCUGCCUCGCGGUGCAUUGUGUUGGGGAAUGUAGCAUGCAAUUUCAAAAAAAAAUCCUACGAUCACGCAAGAUCUAUCUAGGAGAUGUAUAGCAACGAGAAGGGGAGAGUGUGUCCACAUACCCUCGUAGACCGAAAGCGGAAGCAUUAGGUUAACGCGGUUUAUGUAGUCGAACAUCUUCACGAUCUAACCGAUCUAGUACCGAACGUACGACACCUCCGAGUUCAGAACACGUUCAGCUCGAUGACGUCCCUCGAACUCUUGAUCCAGCAGAGGGUCCAGGGAGAGUUUCGUCAGCACGACGGCGUGGUGACAGUGAUGGUGAUGUGAUCUGCGCAGGGCUUCGCCUAAGCACUACGUGAAUAUGACCGGAGGAGUAAACAGUGGAGGGAGACGCCCCACAUGGCUUGGAACAAUAGGUGUGUCUCCAAGGGGUGCUGUCGCUGUCAAAACCGGCGGAUCUCGGGUAGGGGGUCCCGAACUGUGCGUCUAGGCCGGAUGGUAACAGGAGACAAGGGACACGAAGUUUUACCCAGGUUCGGGCCCUCUUGAUGGAGGUAAAACCCUACAUCCUGCUUGAUUAAUAUUGAUGAUAUGGGUAGUACAAGAGUAGAUCUACCACGAGAUCGGAGAGGCUAAACCCUAGAAGCUAGCCUAUGGUAUGAUUGUUGUUCUGUAUGUUGUCCUACGGACUAAAACCCUCCGGUUUAUAUAGACACCGGAGAGGGUUAGGGUUACACAAAGUCGGUUACAAUGGUAGGAGAUCUACAUAUCCGUAUCGCCAAGCUUGCCUUCCACGCCAAGGAAAGUCCCUUCCGGACACGGGACGAAGUCUUCAAUCUUGUAUCUUCAUAGUCCAGGAGUCCGGCUGAAGGUAUAGUCCGGCCAUCCGGACACCCCCUAAUCCAGGACUCCCUCAGUAGCCCCUGAACCAGGCUUCAAUGACGAUGAGUCCGGCGCGCAGAUUGUCUUCGGCAUUGCAAGGCGGGUUCUCCUCCAAAUUCCGUGUACCUGUUGAAUAAAGUCCGGCUUCUUGUAAAUGUUGUGCUCCUUGGCUUCUACGCCCAAUAAUGGCCGUCUCCCACGUGUCAAACGAAUAUGAAAAGUCUGAGUGUUUUUACAUCCACACCCCUAGCCGCGUAAAUGAGCCGCCCAUUUAAGGGGACAAGGAUUUAGAUCCAAACCACACCUUCUCCCCCACGCGAGUGUUCAUCAGAGCGCAUCCGACAAAGGUCCAUACCACCAUGGCCAGCCGUCACAACUCCUCCUUUCGCCCUUCCAGCCCUCAGCCUAGAUAUUGGGAGAGAUGCUCCAUCCCGCAUAGCGAGCUAGUGACGCUCCAGACCAAGGGAUUUCUCCCCCCGGCCUAUAUGGUCCCGGUUCGAGCCAGUCUUGCCAUCUAUAAUGGCGGAGAGCAAGCGGAGAGUGCCCCUAAUCCCUCCAAAGGAGAGCGGGUAUGACUCGUCCCUUAUUUAAUAAGAGGGCUCGGAUUUCCAAUCCAUCCAUUUCUCCGGGGGCUCCUGGAGUUCUAUGGCCUCCAGCUACACAAUCUUACGCCUGCCUCCGUAUUGCAUAUCGCGGGCUUCGUAGCCCUCUGCGAGCUAUUUUUGGGUGUUGAGGAUCAUUUCGGGCUGUGGAAAGAGCUAUUCUGCCUUGUGCCCCGUUCUCAGAAGGGGUCAAUAUAUCAAGUGGGCGGAGCCGAAGUGUGGCGCAUCGCCGGGACCGGAUAUCUGUCCGGAACCCCAAAGAAGGCGUCCAAGGACUGGCCUUCGGAAUGGUUUUACAUAGAGGACGUCCCGCUGCCGGAUCCUGUACAGAUCGGCCUCCCUGAGUUCGACAGUGCUCCACUAAAGAAGCGCCUAAGUUGGCGUCCACGGAGCCCUCAGAGGGAAAGUGACAAGGACGUCCUUUACCUGAUGGGCCGGAUAAGAUUGUUAGCUCAUUUCGGACUGACCAUGAUCGGGGUCAUGGCCGCAUGCAUCAUGCGAGGGGUGCAGCCGCUACAGUAUAGAGGCCACCCCAUGUGGGAUUUCAACGGGGAGGACGACGCCACCCGCUACGGCCGUAAGGGACCGGAUUCGGCUGCGACCCUAACAAAGACCUUGUCCGCUUUGUACAAGGGAGAAGAGGAGGAAUUUCUCCGCGUCAACCCACAGGGUGGAUUUUCUAUGUACAAUCCUCCAAGCUGGGUAAGUGGUCACAUUUACUUGCCCAUCCGUUUUAUAUUCCCAUUGUUAAAUAUUCAGUCUAACGACUUCAACGCAGGAACUGCGCCAGGCUGUUAAAGAAAUAAACAGCCCUCCUCCACAACCCGAGGACCCAGGACGGUCCCUCGACCCGGCCUCUCAAGAGGAUCCGGACUUAGCUGUGGAGCUGAUUGAUGGAGUGUUCCAUCAAUUGAGCAAGGACAACGCCUUGGUGGCCAUUACGGCCGAUUACCCAGGGCUAAUCUCGGCCUCCCAGGUAACUGAGAUCGAAGUCCCAGUACCCCGAAUAGGGGUCCGCCCUCUCGUGUUUUCAGUUUCCUGAUUACAACCGAGCUUUGCAGGGGAGGUUUUUGAGACGGGAGGCUGAACCUGCGGCGACAAGCCAACGAGGGGCCGCAGGGCCCCGUGGGCAGAAAAGAGGUGCAGUCCGGACCGAGGCGUCAGCGCAAAGGUAUGGCGCCCCCCCUUAUCCCAGGUGUUAUACCUUCAAGGCAUAUUAACACUCGUGCUCUCUUCAGGACAAAGAGACCUCGCCGGACUAUAUCCGGAGAGGCUGCCAAUCACGCCUCCACCAGCCAGGCUCCAAAGCCUGGUCCGGAGGCGGAGGCGAACACAAGGCGCGCACCGGACGCUCCUCCGACGGAGGAUGUGGACAGGUUGUCUGCCACCAACUCUGAGGUGGAGAGUUCCAUGAACCACAGGCGUCGCCGGACAAUUCUUCGCGACGCUUGUUUCUCCCGAGAGGCAUUAGAUGCCUUCAAUUCGGGAGAUGCGUACCUCUGUGCCGCUCAAAAUGGUCUAGCCAGAGCCACAGAGCAUAUGUAAAAGACAUACGGGUAAGAAAAUUUUGGUAAUUAUAUAUAUAUAUAUAUAUAUAUAUAUAUAUACCAGUAGCCCCCGAGACUUGAAACAGAUAGGAUAACUGAUUUAAGGAUCAUUUGUUAUGCAGGUUCUUACAGAAAAGAAUUCCCUACUGUCCCAGGAGCUGGAAGAGUGCAAAGCCCAACUUGAGGCCGCACUAGCCGCGGCAGGGGAGCCCAAGGAGACCCCCUCUGGUAAUAUACACUUCGAAAGAUAAGUAUUUUGCGAAGCACGGCAUGGGUGCGAAUCUGACAAAUGAAAUUGCAGAUGGCGCCGGAUUGAGUCCGGAAAGGCAACAACUCCUACGCCAGCUGAAGGCUGGUGAGAAGGUGCUGACAAAGGUGAGGCGGGAGAAGAACAAUCUCCAAGAUGCCAACACCAAGCUGGGCGUCGACCUGAAAGAUGUUCGUGCCCAGCUAUUAGACUCCGUUAAGGAGAAUCAGCGGCUUCGGCGCGGCAUAUUUAGUAAGUGCUUGAACGAACCUUUGAAAAAAGUUCAGCGGGGAAGUCGACUAACAGAGUAAUGUCUGUAGGUGUGCUAACAGGUCGUCCUGCAGAGGAGAUGCCCGGUUCUAUGGGUGACCUUCUUCCCGAGCUCUCGCAACUUCUCGAGCGAGUUCGGCAGGCGAUGCAAGGCGUCGCCCAGGCCUUGUGACCAUCCAUCUCCAUGCCCGAAGGUCUUGGAGAGCUUGUGGAGAAGCUAAAGGGAGCACGGCGGCGCUUCUGAUUGUGGAAGAUAUCGGCCUGCCGUCAAGGCGCUAGGGAGGCCUGGGCCAUGGUGAAGACGCGGUACACAAAGGCUGACCCCGACCACAUGGCCAAGGUCGGUCCUGUGGGGCCUGAUGGGAAGGAGAUCCCUGUAAGCUUAGUAUACGGCCAAGUAGAAUUGGCCGCAAAGUAUUCCCAGCAGGACUGUAAAUUAGACAGCAUGUUAGAUGGUACUGAAGAGGAAUACAAUCAGUCAGAAUGACUAUGUAAUUUAAUUGACAUUUAUAAUGCCUUCUAGCCGGAUUGUAGAUCGUUUGUCAUGGCCGACCUUUUCGCUUCAGCCUCGGGACCUGACGGUCCGGAGUGUGUCCGGAUUCCCAUGCGGUUAUAUAAGAACCGGGGAAUGCAUGGAGACCAGGCGUAGGGGUCAUUAGUGCGUGAACAGACAAGUGCCCGACUAGUUAUGUUAUAUUACAUGGUUAGUAAGAAACAUCUUCCAAGGAGAAUAGUUCUGUUAGGGGUUCCUUUCCCUGGGAGGCAUGCCCUAAAGUGCAUGCCCAUUCUGCGAAAAAGACGUGGGAAAAAGCAUCUGGGGGGCGCAUAAAUAAAUAAGUGAAAAGAUCAUCUUUUAGGUCACCGACCGAAUAUUCUCUUAAGAAUGCUAGCUUUCGGCUUCACCCAGUCUGAGGUACACAUCCGGUUGAUCAGGCAGUAACAAUCACAGAGGUGCUCCCUUUACCGCCUAGCCGAAUAAUCAGGAACGUAGGGGUAAGCACAGGAGCCAGGCAACCUAGCUUGGCCAAAACUUAAGUCAUAUCAAUGCAUAUAAUGGUGAAAUAAAAGGUACAUGCGGAAGUGUAACACAUGUGUUGGGCAUGAAGCCCGUAUAAAUAAGCUUCUGUUAAAAGAAGCCCCCAGGUUUAAUGAGUGCGAAUAGCACGUCAUUUGAUGAGACUUUAAAGGCUAUAAGAGAAAGGAAGGGGAGAAGGAGAGAAAUGUAAGACAGACAGUAUAUAAAAAAUGGACGGAGGAAGGAGACGAACACAGAGUCCGGCGCUAGGCAUAGAAUCUUCGGAGACGGGCUGCGUCCCAUGGGUUCGGCUCGAGUUGGUUAUCCGAUGCAUCUCGCAGGCGGUACGCUCCACCAGUCAGGACUUGGUCAAUUAUGAAGGGACCUUCCCACUUGGGCUUGAGUUUGUCCUUUUUCUUGUCCGGCAGGCGUAGAACUAAUUUGCCAACGUUGUAAUUUUUGGCCCGUACUUCUCUGCUUUGGUAUCUUCGAGCCUGCUGUUGAUAGAAUGCGAAACGGGCUUUUGCCACAUCACGCUCCUCCUCCAAUGCAUCCAAACUGUCCUGCCGAUCGAGCUUGGCUUCUCUUUCUUCGUACAUGCGCACUCGAGGUGAGUCAUGAAUUAUGUCGCAAGGCAAAACUGCCUCUGCGCCGUACACCAUAAAGAAUGGUGUGUAUCCGGUGGUGCGAUUCGGCGUGGUCCGCAGCCCCCAGAGUACGGAGUCAAGCUCCUCUACCCAGUGCGUGUUAGAUUCCUUGAGGGAACGCACUAAUCUGGGUUUGAUGCCGCUCAUGAUAAGACCAUUUGCACGUUCGACCUGGCCGUUAGUUUGUGGGUGAUAGACGGAAGCAUAAUCGAGCUUGAUGCCCAUGUUUUUGUACCAGAGUUUUACCUCAUCGGCCAUAAAGUUCGUGCCGUUAUCAAUGAUGAUGCUGUGUGGGACGCCGUAAUGGUGUACAACCCCGGAUAUAAAGUCUAUCACCGGUCCGGAUUCGGCCGUCUUAACAGGCUUGGCUUCUAUCCAUUUGGUGAACUUAUCCACCAUGACCAGUAAGUAUUUUUGCUUGUGGGUUCCGCCUUUAAGGGGUCCAACCAUGUCAAGCCCCCAGACCGCGAAGGGCCAAGUGAUGGGGAUAGUUUGGAGGGCGGUGGGUGGCAUAUGGCUUUGUUUGCAAAGAGCUAGCUACCGACGCAUCGUUGGACUAAGUCCUGGGCGUCUGCCCGGGCCGUCGGCCAAUAAAAGCCUGUACGGAAGGCCUUGCUUACAAGGGACCGAGCUGCAGCGUGAUGACCACCGAGUCCGGCAUGAAUUUCAGCCAGGAGGUUCCGCCCUUCCUCUUCGGAGAUGCACCUUUGAAGGACUCCGGUAGUGCUUUUCUUAUAAAGCUCUCCCUCGUGGACUUUGUAGGCUUUGGAUCGUCGCACUAUGCAGCGUGCCUCAUUUUGGUCCUCGGGGAGUUCCUGCCUAGUAAGGUAGGCGAGGAAUGGUUCUGUCCACGGGGCGAUGACGACCAUUAUUACAUGGGCUAAAGGUGUUAUUUCAUUGGCAGAGCCUCCGAUUGUGUCAGAAUGUUCGGUGUCGGGCAGUGCGGUUGGGUCCGGGCUGUUAUUGUUCGGCUCCCCUUCCCAUACUACGGAUGGCUUGAACAGCCUUUCCAAGAAGAUGUUGGGGGGGGGGACUACAUCGCGUUUUGCGCCGAUGCGUGCCAGGACAUCUGCCGCAUGAUUAUUUUCCUGGGCUAUAUGGUGAAAUUCAAGCUCUUCGAACCGAGCUGACAUUUUUAGGACGACGUUGCGGUAAGCUGCCAUUUUUGGAUCCUUGGCAUCGAAGUCUCCAUUUAUUUGGGAUAUUGCGAGGUUCGAGUCCCCGCGCACCUCUAGGCAUUGAAUGCCCAUGGAUACUGCCAUCCGGAGACCAUGUAAAAGGGCCUCAUAUUCGGCUGCAUUGUUGGAGUCUGUGUACAUAAUCUAGAGUACGUAUUGAACUGUGUCUCCUAUGGGGGACGUCAAAACGACGCCAGCCCCUAGUCCAGCCAACAUCUUGGAGUCGUCGAAAUGCAUGAUCCAAUUUGAAUAUGUGCCGUACUCUUUAGGGAGUUCGGCCUCCGUCCAUUCUGCGAUGAAGUCGGCCAAAACUUGCGACUUGAUGGCUCGCCGUGGCUUAUAAGUUAUGUGGAACGGGAGGAGCUCAAUGGCCCAUUUUGCAAUCCGGCCCGUUGCAUCACGGUUGUUUAUAAUAUCGUUAAGUGGUACUUCUGAGGCUACUGUUAUUAAACACUCUUGAAAGUAGUGUCGUAGCUUCCGGGAUGCCAUGAAUACCGCGUAAGCAAUCUUUUGAUAAUGCGGGUACCGUGAUUUGCACGGAGUGAGGACAGUGGACACAUAAUAGACCGGCUUUUGAAGGGGGAAUUUGUGUCCGUCCGUUUCUCGUUCGACGACGAGCACUGCGCUUACAACCUGAUGUGUUGCUGCAAUGUACAAUAGCAUUGGUUCGCCAAUGUUUGGCGCGGCCAAGACUGGGUUUGUUGCCAAUAUGGCUUUUAUUUCGUCGAGUCCGACCGUGGCUGCAUCCAUCCAUUCAAAGUGUUCGGUGCACCGAAGGAGGCGGUGAACGGGUAGGGCCUUUUCUCCCAAGCGGGAGAUAAAGCGGCUAAGAGCCGCCAUGCAUCCGGUUAACUUUUGUAUUUGUUUGAGGUCCUUUAGGAUAUCCAAUUGUGACAGAGCUCAGAUCUUGGCUGGAUUUGCUUCAAUUCCUCUACCGGAUACAAUGAAGCCCAAGAGCUUUCCGGCUGGGACGCCGAAAACGCAUUUUUCCGGGUUGAGCUUGAUGUCGUAUGUUCGGAGGUUAUCAAAUGUGAGCCUCAAGUCGUCUACUAGAGAUUCGACAUGUCUUGUUUUGACGACCACAUCAUCUACAUAUGCCUCCACUAUUUUGCCGAUCUGGUUUGCCAGACAUGUCUGAAUCAUGCGCUGAUAUGUUGCACCGGCGUUUUUGAGCCCGAAGGGCAUUGUGUUGAAGUAGAAUGGGUCGUAUGGUAUGAUAAAUGCUGUUGCGGCUUGGUCUGAUUCUGCCAUCUUGAUUUGAUGGUAGGCAGAAUAUGCAUCGAGGAAACACAACGAAUUGUGUCCUGCGGUAGCGUCGAUAAUUUGAUCGAUGCGGGGGAGGGGGAAGUGAUCCUUUAGGAAAGCCUUGUUAAGGUCUUUAAAAUCAACGCACAGGCGCCAGGAUUUGUCCUUCUUUGGUACCAUCACCAGGUUUGCUAGCCAGUCCGGAUGCUUUAUAUCUCUGAUGAAUCCGGCCUCCAAUAGCUUUUCUAGCUCCUCUCCCAUGGCAUGUCUCUUAGGUUCGGAAAAAUGCCGAAGAGCUUGUUUGACAGGUUUGAAUCCUUUUAGGAUAUUUAAGCUAUGCUCGGCCAGCCUGCGUGGGAUUCCUGGCAUGUCUGAAGGGUGCCAGGCGAAAAUGUCCCAGUUCUCUCGUAGGAACUCUCGCAGUGCGGCGUCUACAUCAGGGUUUAACCGUGCCCCGAUGGAAGCUGUUUUAUUGGGGUCCGUUGGAUGGACCUGGAAUUUGACUAUUUCGUCCGCCGGUUUAAAGGAGGUGGACUUGGAUCUUUUGUCGAGUACCACAUCGUCCCUAUUCACCGUGGAGCGCAGCGCAGUCAGUUCCUCAGCCACUAGGGCAUCGGAUAGUGCCUCGAGGGCCAGUGCGGCUGUCUUGUUUUCGGCGCGGAGUGCUAUGUCCGGAUCACUAGCGAGAGUGAUGAUCCCGUUAGGCCCGAGCAUCUUGAGCUUCAUGUACCCGUAAUGGGGUAUUGCUUGGAAGAUUGUAAACGCUUCCCGCCCUAGCAGAGCGUGAUAACCGCUGCUGAACGGAGCCACAUGGAACGUGACCUCUUCGGACCUGUAAUUAUCCGGCGUGCCGAACACCACAUCUAGUGUGAUUUUUCCUGUACAACGCGCUUCCCGGCUGGGGAUUAUUCCUCUAAAGGUUGUGCUGCUUCGCUCAAUGCCGUUCUAGUCUAUUUCCAUUUUUUGAAGGGUUUCCUCAUAAAUGAGGUUCAAUCCGCUGCCGCCGUCCAUGAGUACCUUGGUAAGACGAAAGUCGUCCACUAUUGGACUGAGGACCAAUACGGCUGGUGCUCGGGCUGUUCGGAAUUUAGGUUCAUCACUGGUGUUAAAGGUAAUAGCCGUGUCACUCCAUGGGUUUAUUGUUGCUACUUCGUAGACUUCGGCAAGGCUGUGGAGUGUCCUUUUUCGCAUAUUAUUUGAUGCGAAAGUCUCGAAGACUAUUAAUACCGUAUUGGUGUCUCUGGGGUGGCUUUCUGUGGCCUCCGGAAUUAGGAGAUCUUCGCUAAUUUUGGCCACCUGCCGGGGUAUCCAACAUCCUCUAAGGCUGUGAGUUGGUGUGGCGUCCUCUCUACUGUGAAUUUUAUAGGGUCCAUUAAGCCAUCCUUCCAGUACGGUUCCAUGCCCUGUAGAGGGUUUUUGCUUUUUGGUGUUUGACCCGGGUGUCUGGCGAUGAUGCACCCUUUUAUUUCGGACUGGGUUUGUAUUCAGGGCCGGAUCAUCCCAAAAUUUUAUUUCGGUUUUCUAGGCGCUUUCCAUUGCACAGUACUUUCGUACAAUGGACGCUAAGUCAGCAAAGCGUGUAAUAUCACGGUGACUUAUGGUGUUGAGGAUACCCUUGUCCGUGCAAUUAUUGCAGAAGAUUGAGAUUGUGUCUUCCUCGCGGUAGUCCCUUAUCCUGUUCCUAACCAGGAGGAAUCUGACCCAGUAAUGAUGUACUGUUUCAUCGGGCUCUUGCCUGAUUUGGGAUAGAUCACUUAUGUUCAGGUGGGUGGGUGGAAUUAAAUCUGAAGCCUCACCCAAUCUGAAGCUUAGAGACCGAGGAAUUUCCGAACUCGAAAAUUUGGAUUCCUGGAUGUUGUCCAAUGAAUCCAGCCCGUCGCCUGACUCUAAGUUCAGGUCUUGAGUGAUAUCCUCCCCUCCACGGGUAUCCGUCUUGGAGGGAUCGGGAAUCCGUAUGUAGCUAGUCCUUAAGAUAGAUGAAGGGUCGCCGCACUAUCCCUCUACCACGGCAACAUGAUGGGUGACUUGGGGAGAGUUAAUCUCUCUCAGAUCGGGUUUAGGCCCAAUCUGGUCGUAAUCCGUAGCGACUCCCAGGGCGGCGAUGCGAUCCAAGAGCUCGUUUAUGGAGGAGAGCUCCAUUGGAUCUAACUGCUCGGCGAGUUCCGAGCUGACAUGAAGAUUGUUUUCGAUGGCUCGAGAGGUCAUCGUCGGCGCAGAAGUCGAACAGGUGGUCAUAAGAAAACCACCUAGCCGGAGGGUUUGGCCGACAGCCAAAGCUCCCUUAGCAACGGUGCCAUCUUUAAAGACGGGGCGAGGCAUCCUUCCUGAUGGUGACGACACAGAGGAACUCUCAAUGAAAGCACCAAUGUCGGUGUCAAAACCGGCGGAUCUCAGGUAGGGGGUCCCGAACUGUGCGUCUAGGCCGGAUGGUAACAGGAGGCAAGGGACACAAAGUUUUACCCAGGUUCGGGCCCUCUUGAUGGAGGUAAAACCCUACGUCCUGCUUGAUUAAUAUUGAUGAUAUGGGUAGUACAAGAGUAGAUCUACCACGAGAUCGGAGAGGCUAAACCCUAGAAGCUAGCCUAUGGUAUGAUUGUUGUUCUGUAUGUUGUCCUACGGACUAAAACCCUCCGGUUUAUAUAGACACCGGAGAGGGUUAGGGUUACACAAAGUCGGUUACAAUGGUAGGAGAUAUACAUAUCCGUAUCGCCAAGCUUGCCUUCCACGCCAAGGAAAGUCCCUUCCGGACACGGGACGAAGUCUUCAAUCUUGUAUCUUCAUAGUCCAGGAGUCCGGCUGAAGGUAUUGUCCGGCCAUCCUGACACCCCCUAAUCUAGGACUCCCUCAGGUGCACUGCCCACGUAUAUAAAGGAGGAGGGGAGGAGGCCGACCACCAGGGGCGCGCCAAGGAGAGGGGAGUCCUACUAGGACUCCAAGUCCUAGUAGGAUUCGACCCCCCUUCUUUUCCUCUUCAUGGAGGGGGAAAGGGAGAAAUCACUAACUGAGGAGUAUUCGUUGCAAAGAUCACUCCAAUUCUCCUGGUUGCGACAAGUGGCGCACAUCACGCCACUUGUUGCAACCUAGGAGUUUUUCCUUUUUCGUAGAUUCAUUUAUUCAAAACGUUUUAUCUCUUAAACCGUGCGUCUAAAUCUCGAACCGCUUUCACCGUUGGAUUCCUCGCGUCGAGAUCUUCAAAACUAGAUCCCAUGUUGAUAGAUUUUGACAAAAAAAUUCACGAAAAAAACCGGACAAAAAACCAAACCGGAAGCACGGGUUUUUUCCUUUUCCGAAAGAGGCACGCCCAUGCCUCUCACGAAAUCGCAACCGUGCCUCUCGCAAAAGCAAAACCGUGACUCUCGCAGAAGGAAAAAAAGAGAGGGAGAACGCAUUUUUUUUUGUUUUCGAGGAGGCACGGCCGUGACUCUCGUGGAAGCACAACCGUGCCUUUUGCGGAAGCAAAACCGUGACUCCCACGAAAGAAAAGAAAAAACAGAAAACAUGUUUUUUGCCUUUCCGAGAGGCACGACCGUGACUCUCACGAAAGCACAACCAUGCCUCUCGCGAAAGCAAAACCGUGACUCUCAUGAAAGAAAAAAAACAGAAAACACGUUUUUCCCUUUCCGAGAGGCACGACCGUGACUCCCGCGAAAGCACACCCGUGCCUCUCGCGGAAGCAAAACCGUGACUCUCGCGAAAGAAAAAAAAACA